UAGAGUUUGAUCCUGGCUCAGGACGAACGCUGGCGGCGUGCCUAAUACAUGCAAGUAGAACGCUGAAGAGAGGAGCUUGCUCUUCUUGGAUGAGUUGCGAACGGGUGAGUAACGCGUAGGUAACCUGCCUUGUAGCGGGGGAUAACUAUUGGAAACGAUAGCUAAUACCGCAUAACAAUGGAUGACACAUGUCAUUUAUUUGAAAGGGGCAAUUGCUCCACUACAAGAUGGACCUGCGUUGUAUUAGCUAGUAGGUGAGGUAAUGGCUCACCUAGGCGACGAUACAUAGCCGACCUGAGAGGGUGAUCGGCCACACUGGGACUGAGACACGGCCCAGACUCCUACGGGAGGCAGCAGUAGGGAAUCUUCGGCAAUGGGGGCAACCCUGACCGAGCAACGCCGCGUGAGUGAAGAAGGUUUUCGGAUCGUAAAGCUCUGUUGUAAGUCAAGAACGGGUGUGAGAGUGGAAAGUUCACACUGUGACGGUAGCUUACCAGAAAGGGACGGCUAACUACGUGCCAGCAGCCGCGGUAAUACGUAGGUCCCGAGCGUUGUCCGGAUUUAUUGGGCGUAAAGCGAGCGCAGGCGGUUUGAUAAGUCUGAAGUUAAAGGCUGUGGCUCAACCAUAGUUCGCUUUGGAAACUGUCAAACUUGAGUGCAGAAGGGGAGAGUGGAAUUCCAUGUGUAGCGGUGAAAUGCGUAGAUAUAUGGAGGAACCACCCGGUGGCGAAAGCGGCUCUCUGGUCUGUAANCUGACCGCUGAGGCUCGAAAGCGUGGGGAGCGAACAGGAUUAGAUACCCUGGUAGUCCACGCCCGUAAAACGAUGAGUGCUAGGUGUUGGAUCCUUUCCGGGAUUCAGUGNCCGAAGCUAACGCAUUAAGCACUCCNCCCUGGGGAGUACNACCCCCAAGGGU
rnacentral:rRNA from 1 species